AUUGAACGCUGGCGGCAUGCCUUACACAUGCAAGUCGAACGGCAGCGGGGACUUCGGUCCGCCGGCGAGUGGCGAACGGGUGAGUAAUGUAUCGGAACGUACCAUUCAGUGGGGGAUAACUAUCCGAAAGGAUAGCUAAUACCGCAUAUUCUGUGAGCAGGAAAGCAGGGGAUCGCAAGACCUUGCGCUGAUUGAGCGGCCGAUAUCAGAUUAGCUAGUUGGUGAGGUAACGGCUCACCAAGGCUACGAUCUGUAGCGGGUCUGAGAGGAUGAUCCGCCACACUGGGACUGAGACACGGCCCAGACUCCUACGGGUGGCAGCAGUGGGGAACUUUGGACAAUGGGCGCAAGCCUGAUCCAGCCAUGCCGCGUGAGUGAAGAAGGCCCUCGGGUUGUAAAGCUCUUUCGGCCGGGAAGAAAUCGCAUCAGCUAAUACCUGGUGUGGAUGACGGUACCGGAAUAAGAAGCACCGGCUAACUACGUGCCAGCAGCCGCAGUAAGAC
rnacentral:rRNA from 1 species